GAACACACUGGGUCAACUGCUACAAAAUGAUUUUGUACAACUUAAAUGGAAGAUACUGGACAACACAGUUUGCACCAAAGCCCGUAUAACCUAUGAAUUUGAACUCCCUUGCCCAUGGUGGCUAACUACAAUCUAGAAAUACUUGGUGUGUAACGAAUUACUAACCAACUUGGACUACUAAAAAAGAACUAAAUUGUUAUCGAGACCAGACAACGUGAAUCUAUGCAAGAAAAAAAAUUGCACCGUACAACCAAGAGAACAAAAACUGCAUUCUUUAAGAAAUAUUAUGUAAUGACACAUAAAUAAUGAUGGAAACUAAAAUAUCAUAUAUCAGUCUCUAGGCUACGUUUAGCAAGGGAAAGAAGGAACCUGGUGAGUGCCUUUUCAGCACUCACUCUCACUGCAUCAAUCUUUCCCGUAUUUUCCUCCAAAUCAACCUUCUGUUCCAAUCUAGAAUGCACACUUCGGACAAGUUUCCUUAGUUCCUGUCAAGUGAACCUAGCAUUAGCAACACAGAGCAAGAAAUAGAACACUGUGCACCCUUACGAUAACUGAACAAUUGGCAUGAGAGUUAAUCAACUGACUCAGGUGAAUCUAAACUGGCUGGGCUUCUACAUAAUCUGGUGGUUCAAGUGAAUCCAACUCCAUAACCAGCCCUCGCGAAUGACUUUUUAUCGGGAAAUCAACAGUGUCACUUAAUCAGACCAUCCCACUCCAUUAAGGAUGUGGCGGAAAAACAGAAGUACAAGUGACCGAGGCAGCAAUGGAACUGAAAACCUUUUACACUUAGGAAGCACGUUAUGACUGUUUAAACACAUUAUUUGACAUUAAAGACACUGAUGUCUAGAUGGCAUUCAACUUACCUGACGGUCAAAAUCAACAUUCGAAAUUGAAUAAACUUCAUUGGUGAUCUUAAUGUCCUUACUGAUCAGACCAUCAAACCAUCUGGUUGCUUCAUCAAUGUGAGAACCCUGCAUUCGAUGCUCAAGUAAUCAGAUCAAAUAUGUCCAUAAACAACUUACCAAAUUUCAGCAAUCUUUCUUGCACAAUUUCAAACAAAGUAAAUGUAACGUACCUCUUCUUCCUCCUCACAAUCAGUUUCUUCCGCCUCUUCUUUGUCGGCAACAUCAUCAACCUCCAAUGUCUCCGGACCUGAUAAAGCUUGCAGCUUACUUUCGUCGCUAUCUUUCGUAGCCUGAAUCAAAGCAUCCAUCAAGUCGGCCUCCACAUCCCGCAGCAGUUUCCCUUAACACGAAUUGAACAUAUCUUUGUAAGAUAAGAUCACAAAUUCACAAUGCAUACACAAAUGUGUAAGAAAUGAUUAAACUACACAGAUUCCAGGCAGGGCACAAAGUUGUUGCAUCACAUACCAAUAUAAUUGAACUGCCUUCGCUUCCCUUCUCGAACAUCCGGUCCUAAUUUCUGCGGCAUUAACACAAACACCUUAGCUGCAACAGCUGGAAUCAGUAGUUAACACUCGUUUGAACAGAAAAGAAUAAACUAACCAAGCACCUUCACUAGGAUCACAGCAUCCAACACGUCUUGGUCCAGAGAAGCCACUCUGCAUCCCAAUCAAAUUAAAAUCCAUAACUCGAAAUAACUAAAUUUACAGGGACUUUUUUUUCAAAAUUUGAUGUUUUAGGGGGGUGAACCUGACAAUGCGCUUGAUUUGAGGGGUGGAGAAGGACGCGAGGUCCAUAGCCCAACGGACGGCGCGGCGGGCGUGGCGCUUCAACUCGUUACGGCUCUUGUACGUGACUGAAUCCGAAUCCGAACCCGAACCCGAACUGGCUGUGUUGGCGUCUUGGUAAUCGGACGGUCUGAGACCGCGUAAUAGUUUAUGGACGCCGCGAGUGGCCAGGUGGACGGUGGUCAAAGACGGACGACGGGAGUUGGUUCUGGUGGUGACCGGAAGUAAAGGGGAGAAGAUAAGGUGGUGGAAGGCGGCGUUUGAGCAGCAAUGCUGCUGCCACAUCGGCCAUUGCCUCAGUAGCCGUCCCGCUUGAGCAGCCAUCGCGCCUCUUUCCCUCUUGCUGGUGAUUUGCUAUACCACAUGCAACACAUUUUAUCCUCCUUGUCUUAAAAAAUAAAUUAAAAUUGUAAUAAUAGUCUCUUAAUUUUAAUUAAAUUAGAGCAAUAUUUCAUCAACUAAAAGUCCAUUACCAUUGGCUCCUCAAUUCAUCAAAACGUGUAGCUAUGAUCAUUUUCGUCAACUUCGUCAGAAUUUUGUCAAAAUGAGUUAUGUUGGAAUGAUCAUUGCUACAAUUGGGUUAAAAUUGAGGAACAAUUUCUCCAAUUUGAUUAAAGUUGAUGAACUAUUUCUCCAAUUAGAUUAAAGUUGAUGAACGAUUGGUAAUGAAUUUUUAGUUGAAGGAUUAUAGCUGCACGUUUUGAUGAGUUGAUGAACUAUCGUUCCAAUAUAGUUAAAGUUGAGAAAUUAUUGCUAUACUUUACUUAAUAAAUAAAUAAAUGAGCUAAGGCCCAGGCCCAUUAUUAAAGACUUCAAAAGGCCUACGGUUGAAUUGGGUCCCCUUCAAACUCUAUAUGUUAUUUGGGCUGGUCAGUUUCACAUGACCACUUGUUUGGGACUUGUCCUAGUAUGACUAAAAUGUUUUUGGACAUCAAAAAGCAUUUUGGAUGUUCGAGAUUUGUCGAUAGAUGCUAACAACUUCAUAUGUAUGUUCUCAAAAUCUACGUUGAGGAAUGAAAUCAAAAUUUAUCGACAAAUACCCAAACACUUUCGUUGCAGGUGGUCGAAAUCUAUCAACAGACGAUUGAGGCAUGCUACCUAGAUUUUCGACAGGUAAUGCUAGGUUUACGAACGGAGUAUAAAAUUUGGUCUUCCUAGUCAACAAGUUACAAUGCACGCUAUCGAAAUUUCUCGAUGGAUGCUGAGGCAUGAUGGCGAGAUUCAACGACAGUGCUCAAGUGUUAUGUCGAGUAUUGACAACUAUCAAGACGUGUUACCGAGGUUUGUUGAGCAUCAUUUCCCAAGUUACUACUCAUAAAAGAAAAACUACAACAACAACAACAACAACAAAGCCUUUUCCCACUAAGUGGGGUCGGCUAUAUGAAUCCUAGAACGCCAUUGCGCUCGGUUUUGUGUCAUGUCCUCCGUUAGAUCCAAGUACUCUAAGUCUUUUCUUAGAGUCUCUUCCAAAGUUUUCCUAGGUCUUCCUCUACCCCUUUGGCCCUGAACCUCUGUCCCGUAGUCACAUCUUCGAACCGGAGCGUCAGUCGGCCUUCUUUGCACAUGUCCAAAUCAUCGGAGCCGAUUUUCUCUCAUCUUUCCUACAAUUUCGGCUACUCCUACUUUACCUCGGAUAUCCUCAUUCCCAAUCUUAUCAUUUCUCGUGUGCCCACACAUCCCACGAAGCAUCCUCAUCUCCGCUACACCCAUUUUGUGUACGUGUUGAUGCUUUACCGCCCAACAUUCUGUGCCAUACAACAUCGCUGGCCUUAUUGCCGUCCUAUAAAAUUUUCCCUUGAGCUUCAGUGGCCUACGACGGUCACACAACACGCCGGAUGCACUCUUACACUUCAUCCAUCCAGCUCGUAUUCUAUGGUUGAGAUCUCCAUCUAAUUCUCCGUUCUCUUGCAAGAUAGAUCCUAGGUAGCGAAAACGGUCGCUUUUUGUGAUCUUCGCUAGAUUGCUCCGGUCAUUAGUGUGGAUAAGUAUAUAAAUGGAUAGAGAUAGGAAAGCAAACACAAGAUGUACGUGGUUCACCUAGAUUGGCUACGUCCACGGAAUAGAAGAGUUCUCAUUAAUUGUGAAGGGUUUACACACAAGUACAUAGGUUCAAGCUCUCCUUUAGUGAGUAAGUACAAUGACAUUAGAUAUUUAGGUACAAUAUUGUGGGACAUGAUCUAGGAAAUAUGUCGGAUGAAUGAUCUCGUAAUCACGAAACUUCUAAGUAUCGGAGUGUUCUUGUCGUCUUGACUUGCCAUCAUGUGUCUCAUCUAGGUAUCAUGUGGCAUCUUCUCUGGAAGUUCUCUUCCAUCCAGGGGUGGUAUCUUUUAACUGGUGGAGAUGCACAAGGUAAUGUAUCAAUUUCACUUGAAGCUUACUUGUAGUCUCAGGCUUGGUCAAGCGCGAUACAACAAACAUGUAGUAGGAGUCCCCCAAGUCGCCGAGCUAGGGGGUCUGCUGAAAGGGUCAGACAGAGGUGACAGACAAGGUAAGCAAUCAGAGCUCCGACUGAUUGUUCACCUUCUCCCCAUCUUGCAGCAGCAUGAAGGAUAAAGAGAAGAAAAAUGAGAAGAGAUGAUAUGAGAUACUUUUGCUUUUGAAGAAGUAACUUUCCACAGGCUUAUUCUUGAACUGAGCUGGAGGGUUUUCUGGUUUCCUCCAGAGUAUAUAAGGCCGACUGAAGAAUUUGAGGGUCAAAACAAGUCCAUCAAAUCUAGAGUACGUUCCACCCUGCUGAUAUGGGAUACUUUUGCUUUUGACAGAGUAAUGGGUGUAUCGGCACGUGUGCUGUUACGCUUGUCUCCACAUGCUUCCUUGUAUCCUUCGCACUUGCCCUAUCUGUUCCUCAAGCAGAUGCGGAAUCUUCCCUGGAAACAUAAGAUGUUGAAGAUGAGUACUCGAGAGCAAUGCCAGGUAAGUAAUCAGGUAAGGGGUUCCAGGCAGUCAGUUCCUGGCUGGAAGCUUGAUCCAAGUGCUGACUGAUUGCUCUCUUUCUCCUUGUCUUGCAGGUAAAAACAAGGCCAAAGGAAAAAGACAGGGAAAAAGCAUGAUAUGGGAUACUCUUGCUUUUAACCCUGAUGAUAUGAGAUAUUCUUGCUCUAGUAUAGCUUGUUUGCAGAGGUAUUAUCGGGGGGAAAGAAAGCUGAAUAUUUCGAAAGGCUUCGUUGGGAGUGCCCUCUCAGAUAUGAUGAAAGGUUGAGCAUUUUUGCAGGUCUGCCUGUCCGUUGGGGAUGGAGGUCGACAUAUAUAGGAGUCUCCCUAACAACAAGUAGUAAUGCUAUUCCUUUACCCUGCUUGGUCAUAGCACGGUAGUGGGAGCUGCCAGUUUCACAUGUUUUAACUCUGUCAGAGCACUUUGAAAAAGUGGUCUGUGGUAUCUGGCUCUCGAGAUUCGGAGAACGAUGCCUUUUCGAUUUUUGAGAAAGCAAUCAUGCUGGGGUCUGGCUCUCGAGAUUCGUAGAGCAGUGUCUCUUCGAUUUUUGAGGAAGUAAUCAUGUUGGGAGUCUGGCUCUCGAGAUUCGGAGGGCGGUGCCUCUUCGAUUUUGGAGCAAGCAAUCCUGUUGGGAGUGUUGUCUCGAAUGUGAGUAAAGGUUGGGCAUGUUUGCUAGUCUACCUUGCCACGAAGCACAAAGGUUGACACACAGAGACUUUCCAAUUAUCCAGCAAUGGUACUGUUCCUUUACCCUCUCUUCGCUUUUGAGAAAGUAGUCAUGUUGGGAGUCUGGCUCUCGAGAUUCGGAGGACGGUGCCUCUUCGAUUUUGGAGCAAGCAAUCUUGUUGGGAGUGUUUUCUCGAAAGUGAGUAAAGGUUGGGCAUGUUUGCUAGUCUACCUUGCCACGAAGCACAGAGGUUGACACACACAGGGACUUUCCAAUUAUCCAGCAGUGGUACUGUUCCUUUUACCCUUGUGGGUAAUAAUAUGGUAGCUAGACCUUCAAAAUUUAUGUGUCUAAACUUUGUUAGUGCUGUUUCUUUGCUAUUCUUUUACCUUUCUUGGUCAGAGCGAUGUAGUGGGAGCUGCAAGCUUCACGUGCUCAACUUUGGCAGAGAACUUUGGCAAAGUUAUCUGUGGUACCCAUGAGCUAUUGUUGCGUGUGGGAAGUGGGUGAUUGAACAGUAAGAUUCAUGUGCUUUUCUACUUCACCAGAAAGUCUUCGACAGAAUGCCCAUAAUUUCUGCAAAGCUGAGUGUGCGUGUGACAGGUGCUGACAAGGCUAGAAAAGUAGGUGCCUCUUCGAUUUUCUGAGAUCGGCCCUCGUGGUCUCUGAGCAGCCCAGCUUUUGAGAAAGCGAGCGCCUCUUCGAUUCGGAGAACGAUGCCUCAUCGAUUUUUGAGAAAGCAAUCAUGCUGGGGGUCUGGCUCUCGAGGAUUCGGGGAGCAGUGUCUCUUCGAUUUUUGAGAAAGUAAUCACCGUUGGGAGUCUGGCUCUCGAGAUUCGGAGGGCGGUGCCUCUUCGAUUUUGGAGCAAGCAAUCUUGUUGGAAGUGUUUUCUCGAAUGUGAGUAAAGGUUGGGCAUGUUUGCUAGUCUACCUUGCCACGAAGCACAGAGGUUGACACACAGGGACUUUCCAAUUAUCCAGCAAUGGUACUGUUCCUUUACCCUCUCUUCGAUUUUUAAGAAAGUAGUCAUGUUGGGAGUCUGGCUCUCGAGAUUCGGAGGACGGUGCCUCUUCGAUUUUGGAGCAAGCAAUCUUAUUGGGAGUGUUUUUCUCGAAUGUGAGUAAAGGUUGGGCAUGUUUGCUAGUACCUUGCCACGAAGCACAGAGGUUGACACACAGGGACUUUCCAAUUAUCCAGCAAUAGUACUGUUCCUUUACCCUUGUGGGUAAUAAUAUGGUAGCUAGACCUUCAAAAUUUAUGGGUCUAAACUUUUAGUGCUUGUUUCUUUGCUAUUCUUUUACCCUUCUUGGUCAGAGCGAUGUGGGAGCUGCAAGCUUCACGUGCUCAAACUUUGGCAAGAACUUUGGCAAAGUUAUUGUGGUACCAAGCUAUUAUCUGUGAAGUGGGUGAUUGAACAGUAAAGAUUGUUCUCUUCCCCAGAAGUCUUCCGGCAGAAUGGGCUGAUGCGGUGGCUCGAGGGGUUUGGGUGUUCCUACCAGAGUCCUGUCUACCGGAAGAUCUCUCGACAGAAUGCCCAUAAUUUCUGCAAAAGCUGAGUGUGCGUGUGACGGUGCUGACAAGGCUGGAAAAGUAGGUGCCUCUUCGAUUUCUGAGAUCGGCCCUCGUGGUCUCUGGGAGCCCAGCUUUUGAGAAAGCGAGCGCUCUUUCGAUUUUCUGAGAUCGGCCUUCGUGGUCUUUGAGAAGCCAACUUUUGAGAAAGCAAACGCCUCUUCGAUUUCUGAGAUCAACCCUCGUGAUCUCUAAGCAGCCCAGCUUUUGAGAAAGCAAACGCCUUCUUCGAUUUCUGAGCAGGCGCCUCUUCGAUUUCCGAAGCUCCGUCGAGUGCAGAUUUUUAUAGAGGCUGACAUUAAGUUCCAAAGCACACUUGAAUCUCCACCAGUAGAAGCUUCAUUCUUGCACUUCUAAGAUCUUGAUUUGUCCGACCUCUUCUCUUCUUCAACCUUUGAAAAUGUCUGGCCCUCCGACCGUCGUUUUGACUUGAACCUUGUUGAAGAGGCAGCCCCGCCUUCUCCAGACACAUAUGGCGCCCAUCCUUCGUCUCCCCUACUGGUCCUCUUACCGUUGGGGAUUCCGUGAUGAAGAAGAUAUGACCGCUGCGGUGGUGGCCAGGAACCUUCUCACUCCCAAAGAUAACAGACUACUUUUCCAAACGGUCUGAUGAGUUAGCUGUUAAGGAUUCGUUGGCUCUCAGUGUUCAGUGUGCAGGUUCUGUGUCUAAUAUGGCCCAACGCCUAUUUGCUCGAACCCGCCAAGUUGAAUCCUUGGCGGCUGAAGUGAUGAGUCUCAAACAGGAGAUUAGAGGGCUCAAGCAUGAGAAUAAACAGUUGCACCGGCUCGCACAUGACUAUGCUACAAACAUGAAGAGGAAGCUUGACCAGAUGAAGGAGGAAACUGAUGGUCAGUUUUACUUGAUCAUCAUCAGAGAUUUGUGGGUUUGUUCCAAAGGCAUUUAUUGCCUUCGUUCUUCUGGGGCUGUACCGCGUAAUGAAGCUCCGAAUGAUCAACCUCUGAUGCCUCCUCCUUCUAGGGUUCUGUCCAGUACUGAGGCUCCAAAUGAUCCCCCUCCGGUGCCUUCUCUUUCUGGGGCUCUACCGACUGCUGAGACUUCUCCUAAGCAACCUUUGUGAAGGCUCCGUCUUGUGUGUUUAUUUUGACUCAUGUAUAUGUACAUAUUUGUAGCUGAUCGGGGAUAUCAAUAAAUAAGCUUUCCUUCAUUUCAACGUAUUGUGUUAAAUACACCAAAGCCUUCUUCGCUAAGUUCUUUGAAUUUUCUUUUGUUGAAGCUUGUAUGUUGAAGCUUUCUGAGUGGAGCAUGUAGGGUUGGGGUAGUGUUCCCUUAAUUUCCUGAGUGAGGAAAACUUCUCUCGAUUGGAGACUUGGAAAAUCCAAGUCACUGAGUGGGAUCGGCUAUAUGAAUCUUAGAACGCCAUUGUGCUCGAUCCUGUGUCAUGUCCUCCGUUAGAUCCAAGUACUCUAAGUCUUUUCUUAGAGUCUCUUCCAAAGUUUUCCUAGGUCUUCCUCUACCCCUUCGGCCCUGAACCUCUGUCCCAUAGUCGCAUCUUCUAAUCGGAGCGUCAGUAGGCCUUCUUUGCACAUGUCCAAACCACCGUAAACCGAUUUUCUCUCAUCUUUCCUUCAAUUUCGGCUACUCCUACUUUACCCCGGAUAUCCUCAUUCCUAAUCUUAUCCUUUCUCGUGUGCCCACACAUCCAACGAAGCAUCCUCAUCUCCGCUACACCCAUUUUUGUGUACGUGUUGAUGUUUCAACACCGCCCAACAUUCUGUGCCAUACAGCAUCGCCGGCCUUAUUGCCGUCCUAUAUAAAAUUUUCCCUUGAGCUUCAAUGGCAUACGGCGGUCACACAACACACCGGAUGCACUCUUCCACUUCAUCCAUCCAGCUUGUAUUCUAUGGUUGAGAUCUCCAUCUAAUUCUCCGUUCUUUUUGCAAGAUAGAUCCUAGGUAACGAAAACGGUCGCUUUUUGGUAUUUCUUGAUCUCCGAUCCUCACCCCUAACUCGUUUUGGCCUCCAUUUGCACUGAACUUGCACUCCAUAUAUUCUGUCUUUGAUCGGCUUAGGCGAAGACCUUUAGAUUCCAACACUUCUUCCAAAGGUUAAGCUUUGCAUUUACCCCUUCCUGAGUUUCAUCUAUCAACACUAUAUCGUCUGCGAAAAGCAUACACCAAGGAAUAUCAUCUUGAAUAUGUCCUGUUAACUCAUCCAUUACCAACGCAAAAAGGUAAGGACUUAAGGAUGAGCCUUGAUGUAAUCCUACAGUUAUGGGGAAGCUUUCGGUUUGUCCUUCAUGAGUUCUUACGGCAGUCUUUGCUCCUUCAUACAUAUCCUUUAUAGCUUGGAUAUAUGCUACUCGUACUCCUUUCUUCUCUAAAAUCCUCCAAAGAAUGUCUCUUGGGACCCUAUCAUACGCUUUUUCCAAAUCUAUAAAGACCAUUUGAAAAUAAUUUAAAAACUUUGAAUUUUAAUUAAAAUGACAAAAAAAAAUUGUAAGUGCAUAGUUCCAGUUCCAGAAGUGAAUCUUUAAAGUAAAAAUAUCGUUUUCGCUAAAGAUGAACAAUACCGAAAGAGUUUCGUUAAAACGACAAAAAAUUAUCAUCGAGUACAAUAUACAUCUUCAAAAUAGAUCUUACAUUUCGUUAUAAGCUGACAUGAAAUUGGGGGAUAUAAUUUCCCCCAACGGUUCAGGCUGUAAAAAUGGCGCCUGCAGCUUACAAUAUGUACACGCGAACACACUAGCUAGCUAGCACUUCGUCCAAUCCGAACGACAGGCCAGUAGCAGGCUUUCCUAAUUACACUAAUUAACCAUGUAAUUAGCUUAAUGUUUGUUUAAUUACAGAUGAUCGGAAUAUGUUCAGAGUGAAAUGUCUGUAAAUCUACCAGCACUGGUCGGUUUCCCAUCUCCGGCCAAUCGACGACGACAUUGUUGUCGCGUAAGCGUAAGACGAAGCCACGCCCGUCCUCGGCCGUCCGAUCAUCAUCUUGCGGUCGUAAUCGGCGCGUUUUUGCUCGUCGGUGAGAGUGGAGUAAGCUUCGUGGACUUUCAUGAACUCGUCCGCCGAUGAUUUCGCAACGUCCGGGUGCAAAACCCUCGCUAACUUUCCGGUACGCCGACUUGAUCUCCUGGCACGUGGCGCCGGCGUGAAUCCCGAGCACGUCGUAGAGUGAGGAGCUCGAUCCAAUGCGGGAUCGCGGCCUUUCAACGGUCGAUGCGCACGAGGCGGAGACGCGGAGGGGGCGGUAGCUGACGGAGGAGGGAGGAGCGCGGGGGCCGUUAUUGGCGACGGAGAAAAGAGGAGAGGAGUGGCAAGUGAAGGAUGAGGAGGAUAGGGAAGCCAUUUUUGUGAUUGUUGUUGCUUGCUUUGAAAUUUGAUUGGUAGGAGUCGGAUCUGUGGCCGAAGGAGUGGGAGUUUGGGGAUUUAUAGGCAGUUGGGGAUAAGAAGCGUAUCACGGUUAACCGUGGUUAAAAUUCCCAUCAUGGUUAACCGUGGUUAAAAGUUGGGGGUUGGGUUAACGAAAACCGAGGCUUAUCCAUUUGGGAAACCGUCUGACUCAGCGGGGCGUCGGUGUCCAUUCCAAUGUCCAAAAAUCUGACACGGCACAUGGUAUGGGCAUUACCGUUGGAUAUACAGUUUAACUGUGUUGGUUUGGGUUUUGGGUUUCACUUGGUUUCUGACUAGAUUUUGUAUGUGUGAGGUUGACAAAUGGCAACAAUGCGUUGGACCUACAGGGACUUUGAUAGGUUAACCAAUAAUGGAGUGACACCUUUUCCAUCUUUAAUUUUUGCGAAAAUUCUAGAAUUUGCAUAUCUCAUGGUCUGGAGAAAUUUUUUCAUGGAACGAAUCAUAGCGUGGUACGUCAUAUUUCAUUAUAUAAGUAGAGAAAAGUUUUAAUUUUCAAGUAUCCCUUUCGAGCAACACUACAAAUCUUUCCAUAAAUUAAGGGUGCAACUCGGGUGGGUUGGAAGGUCAACUCAAUCCUAACCUAAUUUUUACAAUUCAAGGUUUCAUUCGGGUUUAUUUGGACUAGGUUUUAAUUGGAUUCGGGUUUACUUGGGUUGGGUUCGGGUUGCCUAACUAUUUUGAGUAUAAUCUUGUAACAACUUAAUUUCCAAGAAUUUCUAAAAAAAAUUAAGCCAAGUAGCAUCAAAGCUAGUUAACUUUAAUUUUAUAAAUAAAUCAAAGUUGAUGAGCAAUUACUUCGAGACACAAAGAAUUUAGGUUUUGGAGACUAAUGAUUAUAAAGCUUUAGGAUUUCUAGACUAUGAAUAUGGGUUGACUAAUCAAAGCCUCAUAUUCCCUAAAAACUUAAGUAAUUAUAAAGGGUAAUUUAUUAAAAAUAAAAAGGCCGUUGAUUUGUGGACUUAGCCCACUUAGAUGUAGUAUGAGCAUUAAUUGAUAUGAGUUACAAUCUCGUUAGAUUGAGUUUGGUUAAUCAGGGUGGGGAUGGACAUGCAAAAGAUCAACCCAACCCAACUCAAUCAAUGAACGGGUUGAAAUUAGGUUGGGUUCGGGCGGGUUAUAACUAAAAAAACAUGCUUGUUCAGGUUUAAAGUCGGGUUGGAUAUGGGCGAGUUCGGAUUGGCCCAACCCAAGUUGCACCCUUACCAUAAAUUAUGCACGUGGUGUAUCACCUUGUAUUGCAAUAACAUUAAAAAAUCUCUCCAUAGCAUGGGUCAUACAAAUUAAUAGUGAGAUGUGUGCUCAAAGAUUCAAUAACCAAGAAUUUAACAAAUAAAAUUGUUAGCGGAUAUUAUAUUAUGCUCUAUAUUAGGUAAACUCGUUAUUUUGUUACAUAUAGUUCUUGCAACACAAUCGGUGUUCAUAUUAACGUCAAUCUUUUAUUUAAGGGCGUGUUUGUUUAUAAAGAGGGAAAGUGUAGCCCACCACUUUGCUCGCUUCGCUCAAAGUGAUGCGCCUUGUGUUUGGAAUGUCGAUCCACCUUUGUUCUUAGAUGAUUUGUUGGUUGAGGAAUAUGUAUGUUAAGUUUUUUUGCCUUGUUGACUUUUGUAUCUAAUUAUCUCUCUCAAUGAAGUUCUAUCACAUCUUUAAAAAAAAAAUUUAAAAAAAAAAAAAAAAAACACUCUAGAAGAAUCAAAAUAUGCAUCUAGAAGACUCGAAAUAUGCAUUGUUCUUCCUUCUUAUACUAAAAGUCCGCCUAGUGAAAAAAAUAAAAUUUGCUUUCUACAAGAGUUAUUUGAUAGUUUUGAUUUAUACAAAACGAUUGGAUUUUAGGCAUACAGAAAGUCAAAGGAAGAAAACCGCUGUCACACAAGAAUGGGGAUGUUAGGCCAUCUCUAAUCGAAGACUGACCAGAUGGUUCAUUUUAGCCAUUUGGUUUUCCAAGAAAUUAAUAUUUUAAUGAACAGUGCAGUGUCAUAUUUCUUACCAUCUCUAACUGAUGGCCAUAUGGCUCGUUUUAGCCAUGUAACAAAAAACCGUCUCCAACCGAGGGCCAAAGGGCUAUAAGGUCAAACAUAGGUUGGCCCUUUGGCCAUUUUUUGUCCAAUGGGGCCCACGAGCCCUUUGGCCUGGCCUUCGGUUGGAGACGAUUUUCGGACUAUUUUCGGCCCUUUGGAACCUUCGAUUGGAGAUGACCUUACUAGUUUAAAGUCUAUUGGUAGCAAAAGAAUUAUGUAGACAGAACUACAUAAUUUAUCCAUCGCAAUGUUUUUAUUUAAUUAAAGAGUUAAGUGGUUUUAUACAUAAAAUCUUUAGUUGUUUUCGUUAUCUACCAACUGAUAAUGUUAGUGAGAAACAAUUAAGGAAUAUAAAUUAUAUAAAUAUAACUUUAGUCCAACAAAUAGAUUCUUAUGGGUACAAUAACAGUUGGAUCUAUUAUUAUUUUAAUAAAAUAACGUAAUCCAAAUAUAAAAUAAGUAAACAAAAGCAAAAAAGUCAAUUAAUUGUGAAGCUAAAUAGAGAAUAAACGUGAAUAUCUAGUUUUUAAUCAAAACUACAUAUUAAUAUAACUAACUUUGUCAAUAAAAAAAUAAUAAAAUUACAACUAUAACCUUUAGGGUGCGUUUGUUGCAUCGGACUGUCUCGAACUGGACUAGCUACAUGGACUAAACUGGAUUGGCUUAGACUAGACUAAACUGGACUAGUUUAGUAAAUCAUUUGGUGCAAUGUCGGGACUAAGGAAUAGACUAAUAACAAAUUCUAAUAUUAUAUUAUUUAAUUCAUAUUUAUUAAUAUUUACAUUAUUUAAUAAAUAUUUAGUAAUAUUUUAUUAUUAAAUCUGCCUAUUUUCUGAUUCUAUAAGCCUUCUUCCAUUCCCAAUUCCGUUCAUCCCCUCUUUCUUCCUUUUUCUCCGCCCUUCUCCCUCUGUUUUCUUCCUAAUUUUUCUUCGUCCAUCUCCCUUUUUUUCUUCGUCCCUCUUCCUCUUCAUCUCCCUUUUUUCUUCAUUUUGUUCUCUAUUCAUCUCCAUCUUUUGAUGAAAGAAAUUAACAUCAAAAUUAAACCCAGAAGCUAUUCAUCUCCCAACUUCAUAAUCGACUGCAAAUCUUCACAGUCAAACCACAAAGCAAGAAAGAGAUUGAAAAUUUAGGAGUUGGGAGCGGGUUGCAUGUGUGAUUGGCUUGAAAGUGGGAGAUGGCGAAGCUCUGCAAUCAAGGAGUUUCAUGUUUUCUGGGUUCGGUUUGCCUUCAAUCAAUCCCAUCGUUGAUUUAAGCUUAUAACCACUGCAGAUUUUUUAUUUUUUUUUGUGUUUUAUGGUUUCUGGGUUCGGUUUUCUAGGUUCUAUUUUGCAGGUUGGAUCUGAAUUUGAAAAAUGGAAUGAUUGCAUUUUUUUUUUGUUUUGAAUUUUGCGGGAUAUGGGUUUGAAAAUGGUUGUGGAAGCGAGGAAGAAGAUGGAGCAGGGCAAGGAGGGAGCGAUGUGCGACAAGCAAGACGAGCGACGUUGGGUCUUGGACGACUGACUCUCUCGCGAUUUUCUCUCUAUCAAAAGAGGGCUUACGAAUCCAGCCGAAAUUGGGGAUCCUCGUUAAGAACUCGUAGCGAGGUGGUUAAUCCGAGCGAGUCCGACCUAAGCUCAUUAAACCUAAUCUUGGUGUAGACCAAACAAGGGACUACAGUCUAGUCUAGUCCAGUCCUCCCUAAUCCAGUCCAGUCCUCAUUAAACAUAAUUGAAAAAAAAAUGUGAGAAAAGAAAAAAAAUGGGGGCAUUAAAGUAAUUUCAAACAAACAACAUUUGCCUUUUCUUUAAACCUCACAACAAUGUCACCUUAUCAUUAUCCUCCAAACACACUCUUUCUCCAUAAUUACCAACACUUUUUACAUUUUUUUUUAAUCUAAUGCCUGCAUAACUCUUGCCGAAUUUUUUCUUUUAAAACAAUAUUUGAGAAUAUUUUUUUUUAUUUCACACACAUAGACUGUGUGGCGUUUGCUAGUAUUAAUUAUGGAAAGGCAUCUUAUUUGGAUCUCUUCCUCCUAAUCCACCAAAUUAGAGGAUCUAUGCCAUUGACAUUUGAUCAACGGUUGAAGUUAUUAUAACUUUUAAAGUGUGCCUCUAUUUAUAGUUAUUGAAUCAAAUUUCAACGACACGAAUUUUUUGAUUUAAUGGAUUAGAAAGAAAUGACCCUAAGUUCCUUUCCAUUAAUUAUUGACGCGGUUUGUUGAGAGGCAACCGCCGGAUAGGGAAGCACAUCUGGGAUGGCCCACCGCAGCGGAAACACAAAAGCGGUGUAAACGACGGGCGGCCGACUUGGCACGUGGGUUACCGCCGUGCGGAAGGAACGGUGGUAUUAGAGUAGUAAGGCCACCAAUGCCAACGGGCCACGUUGGAUUUAGGAACUCUGUGAUCCCAUCAGCGAAUGUGACGGAUAUUAUUAAGGUUCAUCCAUAGGAGACAAGAGUUCCAAUAAGGAUAAGACCAAGUUCGUGUUUCAAGGUUCGUAGGAUAAGACGAAAAUGACACAUCAGAAAAUGCUGAAUGUGACUGCUUAUAAACUUAUGCCCAGCUGGCUGUUUGGAUGCAGACGUAAUUUUAUGUUUAAAGCCCUGUAUUCGAUUUCUGAUACUGGUAAAUUAUAUAAUAAUGAUUAGGAAGAGACUAAGGGUCUAUUUGGUAUCAUAUUUGAAAAUUUUUAUCAUUUCUCAAAACAUUUUUAAAGAACGUUUCUUGAAAAUAAUUUUCUUUAAGAUUCAAAAAAUUGAUUGACUUGCGAUUUAAACUAAACAAAAAAAUCUAAAAAGAGGGGGUCGCAUGAUAGGGAGAAAGAUGAGAGAUGAGGAAAUAAAGUAAAAGAUGAUUGAAGAAAAGAAAUGAGUAAGUUUAAGCUUAAAAAACCUAAAAACUCACUUUUUAUGUUUUUAGAUAAUAGAUUAUAUUUUUGAGUUAGUCUUGAGUUCAGUUUUUUAAAAUAGUCCUACCAAACAAAUUUUUUAAGACCUAAAACUUAACAAUUGUUUUUUAGUUAAAAAAGUUGGAUUCAAGUAGAGUACCAAACAAGCCAUAAAAUGCUUCUGUGAGUUCUUUUAACUGCCAAAAAAGUAGACAGCCGUGACAAAACCACCGACUGGUUUCUUAAGUAUAAUUUUGUGCAGUUCAUUGUAUAGUAUAAUGUUCUGGUACUGUCGCAUAAUAUGGUAAAGAUUCAACGUAUAUAAACCAGGUACCCAUCAAAAGCAACGUAAAUAAGAAUGCUUGCAUGUUCGUGGAAGGGACAGUGUCGAGCUAGCCGAGAAAGGGUGGCAGUGACUCAGACGGAAGCCACGCCCACGUGAGGAGAUCCAACAUGUAUCUCGGUUUACUAAAUUACAACACAACAAUUUAAACCAGGUUGCUCUCCGAAUUUUGUUCCCUUUGAGUACGUGUGCAGUUCUGCAGUCCUGCUUUUUUUAAUCUUAAUUUGUUGUCUCUUUAGCGUUAAGCAGGGAAGAGCAGAGAUCUAAGUGCGGACGAUGCGCCCCGUAUUCGCGGCGCAAAUGAAAUUUGGGCGGUGCAGCGUUGCAUGUUAGAAAUUUAAUUGAAGAAUCAAAUGAUGAGUAGAAUGAUGGGUGGCAGCGAUUCAGCGAAGUGAAGCACUCAAGGCUCAUGUGGAGUACUUGCUUCAUUUCAAUUGACUUCAUGUCCCAAUAUAAAUUGAUUUGAAAAUGCUCGAUGGAUUGAAGAAUCAAAUGAUGAGUAUGAGUUUCUAUUCAAAAUUGUUUGUUGACGAUUAAUAGAUCUUCGUGUUUAUUGAUCAGAACAGUUUAUCUUAUAAAUCACUCUAUAAAUAUCUUUUCUGCAAAUAAUCGAUUAAAACAAAGGUUGUUUAAUCAUCGAACUAUAUAAAACAGAUGAAUGAAAUUGAUAAAAGCAUUACGAACUUGUGGAUGCAAAUUUCUUUCUUCUUGUUCUUGGACAAAAUUGCACCUACAAAACAAACAAUACCUUAGGUCAAGACCAAGAGUCUCACGUGCCCACUAUGAAGAUGUCAAAGUUAGAAUUUUGAGGGAAAAGUGUUUGGAGAAUUUAGAGAAUUUAGUAAGAGUAUAGAACUUAGGUUUUUAGAGAAAAUUGGAUAAUAUAUAUAAGGCAUGGUUGACCCCCUUUGGAGAGAUGGUGACCGGCCCUUUGUUUGGGUGUAAUUUGUAGUUAAUUAGCAAAUUAAUAGAUUAAUUAGCUAAUUAAUAUAAUUUGAAAUGAAUGUUUUGGAGGUUACGGAGAAGAUUUGAUGAUCAUGGAUGAAAUAUGUUUUGAAUAAAUACCUAUUUUGAGCACUUUUGACUUGAUUAAGGAAUGAUUGUCCACUACUCGCACGUAGGUUCCGGUGUAUCUUGAGGGUAAUUUUGUCCUUUUAACCCUAUAAUCCACAUGUUGCCUCCAUAUUUUUCUUGAUUAUUUUUUGCUCCACAUAAUUGUCUAUGUAUUUGCUCAAUUGUCUCUAAAUGACCUUAGUAUUAAUAUAUUUUUUUGCAUAGGUGAUAUUUAAGGAGUGAUUCAUAAUAUGAUUAGUUUUGAUCAUAAAUACAAAGCUCUGUAAUUUGAAUACAAAGAAUUUUCUGUAGGAAUCCUACUUAUACUUGAGUAGCCAACAUAUGAUAAUUGGCUACUUGUAAUUUGUAAACAUCAUAUUUGUGAUUCCAACUUAAGAGGAUUUGUGUUUGGGCCCAUAUCAUGAACACUUAAACAGGUCGAAACAAAACUUUGUAAUUAAUCAAUAAAGUUUGGACCAUCUUGAAGCAUGUCUCACAUUGAAAAUUAACCUUAUGAAAUCAAACAUCCGACAAGUGACUUGAGUCAUGACGGAUUUUUACUGUCGAGAUGGGAUUGGAUCCUAUUCGAAGCACUUCACUAUGAAUAAACGUCUUCAUGUGGUGCCACGUUAGCAUGUCUCACAUCGGAAGACUCUUGAAGUUAAAUCUCCUUACAUUGAAACCAAUUCUACUUGCAUCAAAGUCUUUGUAUAAAACCUCACACCAUGCACAAGUGGUUAAGUUAGAAGCCGUAUUAAUAUUGAUUAGUCGUGUACCGCUAAACCAUCUCUAAAGCUAAGACAAAUCAAUUUUGGUAAUUAUUCAUCAAUGAAAUUAAAAUCUGUUUCUUUAAUUACAAGUUUGAUCCUCUAUGUGAAGAUGAAGCUACAGAGUUUGAGCCUAUGAAGAAACCUGGCUGUGGAAGAUGAACUAUCAAAGAGCGGGAAAGCGGACGAAGGCAAUCCCACAUCGACGAUGGAAUAUAAUAUUGGUUGAAGCGGCGUGAAUAAAAGGGCGGGACAACGUCCGUAGAAGGCAUGAUCCUUCAGGCAGAAACGGGAUGUGAUGAGUGGUCAUAAUUCGCAAAUUAAAAUGCGAGAGAUGGGUGUCUGCCCCAAAGCCUGUUACGACAAUUGGGCACUCUCCUGUUUUACCAUCUGAUCCCUAUUCUUUUCUAUUCCUAAAACGCCCCCAAACACCAAAAUUCAGUCGCGAAACUUUUUUAACAAAUUUGUAUUCAUUAUUUCUAAUUUCAGCAUUCAGUUCAAUGUGUUGAAGUUACAUAUUUUCCAAAAAGAGAAACAAUUAUAAAAAAAAGUAACACAAAUAAAAAUUGUUCAUAAAAUUAAAAACGAAAUGAUUUUUAAAAUUACUUUUUAGGUUAUUCCAUUUUAUAAUUGUUCGCAAAUAAUUAUUCCAUUUCUAUAACUAGUGCCUUCAAGCUUUAAUAUGAACAUGUAAAAAGAUUAGGUAAAAUUCUAAAUAAGUUGUUUUAUUUUUUGUUAAACAUAGAUAAAAGCACUUUUGGUUAUCCUCUAAUCCUUAUAGAGGCCACCUCAAACAAACCCAAAGUUGUUUUAGGGCUUGUUUGGACUACUAAAAUGACUGAACACAGUUGGAAAGAAUUCUUUUUGUUUCCAAAACCACUUAAAGUACAUUCUGCAAGAAACACUAAUUAUGUGAUCCGCACAAAGCAAUAAAACGUUUUUCCAAGUUCACUUACUAUUUUACUAAGAAUUAUUUUCAAAAACAAAUUAACCAAAACGCUUUUAAUCAGUUUAACAGCACUUCUAAUCGAGCUCUUAUCAUUUUAGAUCCUAACUGAUCGACCAACACUUCCAACACUUAAAGGAAGUCCAUGAGUACAAACUACUUAUAUAUUAAUUAACACAUAAUCGUAUUUCAGUAUCACAUUAAUUUUUCCGUACAUAAGUCACUCUCAUGAGCUACAUAAAAUAACUCCAUUUCUGUAUAAAUAUAUAGGUGGUACAUAUAUACAAUAACCCUAAUCAUCUGAAGAUUAUAUACAGAGAAAUAUAAAUAUUUAUAAAAAAUUUUGAUUGAAAAUUUGAAACUGAAGACUCUCAAUAUAUUGAAUCUAAGCCGUCGAUGACAUCCAAAGCAUUACUCUUUCGCUUAAGCAAUUUUUUACACCUUGAACCCAGCUCCCUUGAAGGGGAACUCCCUGUGCUCUUGCUCAAACCCCAAACUCCUCUUCUUUUCCUCUCGGCAAUCGAAAACUCCUGACUCUUACUGAUCCCGGGAACCCUUUUCAUUCUCCCGAUCACCUCGUCUAACAGGUUCCGGUCUUCUUCCGAAAGUUGGACUUUUUGGGACUUGGUGUUGUAGGACUUGGUUAGAAACUGCUGCAUGUUGGAGUGAAUAUCCAACCCUUUACGAGUUGGAGACCGCGUAUGCAAAGGCUUCACGCCAUGAUCUCCUUGUCUAACAAGGUUGAUCAGAUGGUGAAGCCAUGCGACUAGUUCGAGGAUGUAGAGAUCCGUCUUCUGCUUGUCUGCGUGAUAUAGCGUCUGGAGGCGGAUCAGGUUAACCUGUGAGGAUCCGUUCUUACCAAACUCAGGACUGUAAAACAGAAAACACGGUCAGAGUUGAACUUAAUCGCUUCAAUUGAGGUUAGAAAAUAUUGAGAGAGUGAGAGAGGGGGGCCUUGACUGACCCAGAAUUUGCCCAUUCUCCAACCCACCCGAAGCCUUGAUGUGCUCUGCCACAAAUUGCAACAUAAGGAAAACAGAGAUUAGUGGAAGCAAGACAGUAACGACAAUGCGUAAUAAAUUUCUUUGCGGAGUUCGAUUCAAAAGAAUGAAAACAAACACGGGCAAAGCAUUGACAGCAACUUUCGAUUAGCAUGCUACAGAACAUACUUGGUCGUAUUUGUGGAAACUGGAACAAGCCAAUGGAGAGUCUUUUCCAUUUCUUCCUUGACCUGAGGAACAGAGCGCUGCAGAAACGCAACAUAAAAAAGGAUAAGCCGAUUGGAAUGCUGAAGCUCCAAGGAGAAAACCAAAAUCUAAUGAGGAAUCUACAAUAUAAAACAAUGGACAAAUGUGUGUUAAAUGCAUUGUGAUACCUCUUCCUUGGCAUCAAGAGUCUGCAAUCGGGAUCGUAAAGCUUGUUUGACUGUAAUUGGUAAACCUUGAUAUAAUGUGUCCCGUGUGUUUGGUGGGAGGGAGGUUGGUCGGGACGCCUAUUAGGAUUAAUCAUUCAUGAGUACAUAUUAUUUUGCAAAUGUAUACCGAGUAUAUGAGACACAAUAUACAGAAACGGAGAAUUAAGCUUACAAUGUUAUCAAUUUGGUUGAUCAUGUUAGCGUAGUGUAGCGCAAGGCCAGCCACCCCUAGUCUUUGAGGAUCUUUGCUCUUGUCUGCACUAACCAAAGUCAGACCUGUAAUAGAAAUCAUAAUGUACAAGAUUAAAAAAGCACAUUAUAGAGCGUGCGGAAACUGAAACUGCCAGCUAUAUCGUAAGUAAGUUUGUAAUCGACUAAGUGAUAACGCAAGCUCAAGUUGUUCAUUAUGUUUGAGUCAUGAUGAAGAAAGCUCUUAUGAACAAUUCCUCGACAUCCACUAAGGCAUAUGUAUACAGUUAUCAAUUUUUGCUCUCGGAGUGAGAGACUGCUCCUACCAUUAUGUCCAAAUGCUUCCAAGAUUGCUUGAUGUGUAUAAGUAACAACAUCAACAAGUUUCUCGACAAUCUGCAAAGAAAAAUACAAUGUGAUAGCAAUAAGGGAAGAUGAAUACUAAUGAAAUCCUAUUGUGCCCCGUCGAAGGCAAAUAAUGAACUAUCGCUGUGCAUUGUUUUGAAUAAUGUUAGCAAAUGGUAGGAAAGAAUUAUGCAAUUUGAAAAGUGUUUCACGAUGGUACCUGAUCCAAAUUUUUAGACCAAAGAGAUUUCUUUUUCAAGCUUCUUACAAGCUUUCUUUGUUGUUUUACAUCACUUAACAACAUCAUCAGAGUCUCUCCUGAAAAUAAAAAGAAAAAAGCAUCCAUAAAUGUCUUUCGAUGUUAUAAACUAGACUAUUCAAAUACUCAAAGGAUGGCACUCGCUGAAACCCCAAAACAGAAAGCAAACCAAAAACAAAAAUCGACGAACCUCUUGGAGGGAGAUGCAAGGUUUUUGCUUCCUCUACCUUGCUCCGGUAAUCUUGUUCAAAUCUGUCCAGUGCAUUUAACUCAUGGUAUAAUUCCUACAAAUGUCGAUAAAAUUAGUCUCUUCAAGUUGACUUCAAUAUAUACAAAUUGUUGGUUAUUAUGAAUCUCCAACUUACAGAAGUAUGCUGAGCAAGAGUGGUCAAUUCCUGCAUCGUCAUGUCUACCUCUGAUCGUAGUUGUUCGUACCCUAAAUCAUCAUCUGAAUCUAGUCUGAAAUUCAAAUUCACAGAAGAUAUUAAAAUAGUGGAAAUUCAUCAAUAUAAUCGCAGCAGCAUAAUUCUCACAAAUCAACCCACCUUGCGAAGUAUCGACCCAGGCUAUGCCAUUGUGGGUCUUUACACAAGUCUCCAAACCUUAUCACUUCACGUGCGAAAACAUCAAGCUCUUCCCUGCAGGCGAGCAUGCAAAAAAAAAAAAAUGGUAAGAUAACGAAAGGCAACGAAUAGCUUCAACUAAAUUCAACCUAUUCUCUACACAACAACCACCUUUUGUCAGAAGCGGCAAUGCGUAGCAACUCCUUCAUAUCUUUAGAAACUAAGUUUUGUACAGCUUCCGAAUGUAGAACAUCUUUCUUUAGAAACUGGACGUUUUCGUCUGAUAGAGAUUGCAACAAGUUUGCACCUUUGGUGAUUGUAUUAGCUACUUCAAACGACAAUAUUGAGAUCCUACUGCCUCUAGACACCCCGCCAGUAAGAAAUCCGCUAUUGACAGUCAAAUUCGACAUGCUACUGCCGAGCGUAUCCAAAACAUCUACUGCCCUCUCCAGGCCAACAAUGCCAGCCUUUCCUAUGAACGAGUUCUUCGGGGUAACCUACCAUAGAAAACACAACACUAAAGCAAUAAUGCCACAAAUAUAAGAGUUUUUUCAAGAGUGCUUCUACUGAAGUGGCUAAAAGUGUUAUCUGACAACCAACAGCUCUUAUCACUACAUUUGACAUCAAAACUUAAAAGCAUACAUGGGUCGUAAGAAGCGGCUUAUGGAGAAGCAUUGAGAAAGUACUUCCAAGUGUUUUUCCGGGAAGUACUUGGGUUCUUAAUAAAAAUCUCGACAUGAUUAUACCAAAAUCACUUCUAGCAGAAGUGCUUCCAACAUUUUCCAAGUUCAAAACAAAAAAUACAUCGACCAGUAUUUCCCUAAACCAUUCCAGUACAAAACUAAAGCAAUCGAUACCUUGCUAGUAGCAGUCCUAGCCGGAGUUGAGGGCUUCAAUUCGCGGGAAACUGAAGACUGCAGCUCGCCGGAAUCAAACCUGUUGGGUGUUUUCCGCGGAGCAAUUCCUUCGGAAAACGAAGGACUAGAAUUCUCCUUGUUCUUGCCGAUGCUCCUCACCGACUUGAGUUUCCCGGAAAAUCCAGCACUUUUCCCUCCGCCGUGAUCGGGAUUUUCCUCACCAGACACCCCGCCCGAGCACACCCCACCCAUCGUUUGCCCCAAUUCAAAAAAUCCACAAGAGCUUUCCAAUUACACCUGCAUAAGCAAACAAAACUCGGUUCACAACCUCUGAUUUCCUUCUUACUUUUUCUCGGCAACCAAACACAUACACAAAUAAAAACAUGAACCAACCAACCAACAUACCUAUUUGCAGAGAUGAUCCUUGAGAACCCAGUAAUUUUCUCAGCAACCAAACACCGUUUAUCAAUCAAGAAAACAAAUGCAGAGAGUUGAAAAGGAAAGAGAGUAGAAAUUCUAGAGUUUAUAUGUUUGACUGCAAAACAAAAUGGUGAGGAUUUUCUACGGGACUAAACGCGUGAUUAGGAAAACCGGAAAUCUCGUGGGAAAAUGGGGAAUAUCUUGACUGGUAUGAAAUUGCGAGAGUUGGAUUUGAAUUUUGGGAAAUCUUUGGAUAUGAAAUGUGGAUUAGCAGUUGAUAUCACGAAAAUUUGAAUUUUAAAAUUUGAUAUUACGAAUGAAUGAAUGCGUGAUUGGGUGGUGGAGGGAAAAAUAAUACGGAAAUGUCAAAGUCCCCGCCUACUUUGUCUGCCUCUUUUUCCUCUUUGUUUUGCCUGACGUGUCAUUGCCAUCUUUUUCGUUUACCAAUUCAGAUCCUGUCCUAAUCUCGCAAUUCAAAGCGACGGAUCGAAAUAUCUGGGCUGUUCAAAAGAGAGAGAGCAAAAGCGAUUAUUUUUUUGUUUAAGUAAGGUGGUUUCAUGUGAUGGGUUAAUGGGAGUCGUGAGAUUUAAAAUAAGUGGUUCGAUUUUUUUUAUCGUCGGUUUUAGACUACGAGAUUUAGAGAGGAUUUUAAUUCAUCAUUUACCUUUUUAACCUUAUGAUUGUAUUUUAUUUUUUUUUAAUCAAUGAAGGGAUAUUAGAAAGAAAGGAAAUUCAUAGUUAGAAAAGGAAUUGGUUUCAUGUUCUCCAAUUCCUUACUUCCCUCAAUCCUGUCAAGUAAAUGUGUCAAAAUCGAAAAAAAUUAGACUUGAAAAUGUCAUAAAAACUCGUGUACAGGUGGAAGAACACAUAACUAGGAAGACAUUUCUCACAAAAACAAUGAUUUCUUGUAUUUUGGUUCUACGUAACUCUAUGUAAUCAGUGGCGGAUCCAUGAUUUGAACUUUGGAGGUUCCAGUGUUAAACGUUCAAGUUUUUGAGAUAGAAACAGGACUCGAAGUGUGCAAAAAAAAAAAUCAGUUUAUUUACUAAGGCAUUUCAUGGAAUACUUGGUGGGCUUGUUAUUGUUAGCCAAACUACGUUGCGCACAUAUCAUCAUAUAUCAACACAUAUCGAAGCAAUCUGAUUAGUGAUAUCGAGAAAAUUUGUUGAGUAUUGUCGACAUAACCCAUCAAGAUAUACUUAGUAGACAUUAAAUCAAACACUUGGUGGCAAAAAAAUGUACACAUACCAAACAUUCAAAAAGUCAUCAGAUAGUCUUCAUAUCUACAUUUCCCAAACUUUGAAUGGUUCCAAAAACCACCUCGAUUCCAAAGUACAUCCUCCCCUGUAUGCAAUCUCAUGUGAAUAAUAAUAAAGUCAAGCAACACUGCCGACUAUCUCACCUUGUGCAAUGAACCACACCAGAUGAGUAUCGAGAUAGUUUAAAAAAAUCACACAUUGAAACUUUUGAAUUAUGUUGUGUGGACGUCUUUACUGUAAAAACGUUGGGUUGUUAAAACAAAUAUAUGAAAUAUGAGAAUUUCUUGAACCAGAACCACUGUGGUGUUCAAGUCAAUCUUUGAUUUGUCAACGAUUUGAUGAUUAACAAGGAUUUAAUUACUCCAAGUGCAUGAAACAUUCGGGCAGAGGAAAAGAUUUUUUUAAGAUGCUUGUGGCAACAUUGGACAACAAGUCGGUUUCCAAGCUUGAAGUUUGAACCACGAUUUCGACAUGUUCCUUUCGGCUUCUUGUUUUUGGCCACGUUGUAUCGAACUAUUACUUACGUUGAGUUUACUUCUCCAUCCAACAGGAUCUUUUCCAGAUCAUCUUUAUGAGGAUCUAUGAAUCGUGUUCGUUAAUCGUACAUUAUGCGAUCCGUUUUCAUCAGAUACUAUUUGUGUUCAAUUUUAAAUAAAAUUAAAAUGAUUUAUUACCACAUAAUGUAUGAUAAACAGACACAAUUUACGAAUCCCCAUAAUCCUCGAUUCCAUGAUGUAUUUUAACUUUAAACAACUGGGUUAUCGACAUUUCUCGCAAUUUGAUUGGUUCUCCAUGUAUAUUUGUCAUUAUGAGGUUGAGCUUCGUUCUAGAAUCUAGAGUCCUCGACCCAUGGGGCAUCCUACUCACCAUGAAUAGAUAGCAACUCGGACAACUUCUGAUCUUUCUAGAGGUUUAUUUGGUACUGCUUUUUUUUAUUAACGCAACAAUAACGUCAUCAAUAUGAGAAUAUCAUUAUUACUAGCUCUUAUGAUUCGAAUGCAUGUCAAGUUACGUUUUGGCAUCUCCCAUUAGAGAUGGUCUAAGCAAAUCUACAAGACUAAAAACAUUUGUCAAACGAUUAAAGCUAACGGUUCUUCCAACCUAAAAAACAUAAAAACAAACAAACCGUAAUGAAGCUUUAGGAACAUCUUUAGAUCCAGACCGUCGAGAUUUGACAAGUAUUAUUAUCAUUCGUCAAACCGCAAACAAGUUAGAUAUUUGGACCCUAUGAGCCCAACCGGGUCAACCACAUCAGGCCAAGCCCAUCAACAGCUUCGUCCACCAGUGUAGUAUCUUCUAGUCAAGUUUGUUACAUUUCAUCUUUUUUUUUUUCUUCUCUCUCUCUCUCUCUCUCUCUCUCUCUCUCUAGUUAGUAUCUUCUGGUCAAGUUUGUUACAUUUCUUUUUUUUUUCCCUCUCUCUCUAGAGUAGUAUCUUCUAGUCAAGUUUGUUCCAUUUCAUCUCUUUUUUUCCCCCUCUCUCUCUCUCUAGUGUAGUACCUUCUAGUCAAGUUUGUUACAUUUCAUCUUUUUUUUUUCCUCUCUCUCUCUCUCUCUCUCUCUCUCUCUCUCUCUAUGGUGUAGUAUCUUCUAGUCAAGUUUUACAUUUCAUCUUCUUUUUUUCCUCUCUCUCUCUCUCUCUCUCUCGAGCUUGUUUGAAAUUAUUUUUACAAUAAUAAGUGAACCCUUUUUAAUUAUGUUUUGUAAAAAAUAUUAAAAAUUGGAAAAUUUUAUUUGGAUCUCGUUAUCUUAUCUUUACACCCAACUAACAAGUUUUAUCCAACUUCCUUCCAAUUUUACUUUUAAAUAAAUAAGAAUGAGAAAAUAAAAGAAAAUAAACAUUGGUGUUUUUAUCUAUACGCCUCAUAACUCCAAAACUAACACAUCAGUGCACUCCUUCAUUAUUUCCGACAAAACUUACCCUAAUAAUAGUAAAUAUUCUCUCGAUUUCAUCAACGAGUCAGCUUGCUACAAACCCUUGUUAGCCCUCAUUUAUAAUUUAAGCGUAGGUUUUUAGCAUAUAUGUUUGUUUGAACCAUGGUCUAAAAUAUCCAUAAUAUCCCGAUAUUUCCAUCGAAAUUUCCGUGUUUUUGGACUACAGAUAUUUUUUUGGACUACCGAUAUUUCCGAUAUCAUUGAUAUUUUAGACCUUGCUAAGUGGUGUAUAAUAUUGUACUAAUUCAUUAUAUAAAUGAUUAUGGUGUGUUUAAACUUCUUUCAUUAAUUACUACAUAUUUUCUACACUCACAAUGUUUGUCAGCUUGCUAUAUAAUCAACUUAAAUCAGUUAUAUCUAUCAUGCAAUGCAUUUCCUUCUAAUUUUUUGUGAUAAACUAAUAGAUAAUUGACUAAAUAAACAUCAUGCAAAAUUUCAAUAAAAAUUUCCAAGUUUUUCUUACAAUUUAUGUGGUUUUUAUUCAAUUUUUAUUGAUAUCGAUAAUAUCCCGAUAUUUCUAUCGAAAUUUCCGUGUUUUUGGACUACUAAUAUUUCUGAUAUCAUUAAUAUUUUAUACCUUGGUUUGAACCAUUAUCUAGGAGUUGGCUACUUGCAUAAAUGAUUAAAACUAACAAGUCAGCUUGCUAGCCAUCUCUUCUAAAUAGACACUGACAUGAAAGCUUUUUCCUUAUAUUGUAGGAAUUUGUUUUAUCCACUAAAAUUAUAAUUAAGGGCCGCUAAGGCUUUUCAUGCAACAAGGGUUCCCAGCAAGCUUACUUGUAUCAGAACUCAGAAGAAUAUUUUGUUGUCAUUUCGAUCACUCUAGAACCAAACAUUAAAAUACUUAACAGAGAGCUUGAAGUACACAUUCACUAAACAUUGUACAUCACAUUUAUGUACUCUUGAAGAUCCCUCCACUGCCGAGUUGUCUUUGAGGGGUCGGGGAUGCUUAACGGGGAUCCUCGUACAUGGUGAAUAACCAAAUUCUAACUGAAAUGAAAUCUUUAGGAUAAAUCAAUGCAUUGUAGGAGGACUCAAUGAAAGGACAUGAAUUCAAAUCCUGAAUUAUCAAAUUGAGAGAGAUAUUGAGAGACAUCGAGAAUGCACAAUUUGUAAGGACAGUGGCUUCUUAAUCGUAAAGUACUUGCACAAAUAGUGAUAUUAAAUGAGAGGUGUCUUACACUUUGAUAGGAGGAAUAGUAGUUUGAUCAGGGCUUUCAAAUCAAAGUCAUAUAGAUACGUGGGAAGAAGGCUUGCUGCGGAGACAUGGAUUGCUACAAAAGAGAUGACAGAUCAUUCUCCACCACUGUACUUCUUCUAACCCUCAUGCCCAGGGGAAAAUAUCCAAAUCCAAAUUACAAAGCAUAUAUAAUAGUCAAUACAUACCUCAUUAUCUAAACAUUAUACAUGGAAUAUAAGAAGAAUUACAAGAAAGUGUUCAACUUACAAACCGUUGUAUCAUAGCACGUAUAAAUUCUAAUGAAGCAUACAAAGUAAAUAAUACAAACCAUUAUUUCAUAGCAUAUAUAGUAUAGGGGGUACGGAAAUUCUCCUCAAUACUUGUUCCGUAGUCUAUUUUGUGGAUCUUGGAAAUUCUCCUCAAUACUCGUUCCGUGGUCUAUUUUGUGGAUCUUGAAUGAACUCAUCGAUAGACAUUAUUUGUAGAGAAUGGUUGGUUGUUUUUUUUUUUUCCUUUAUUUGAGAUAGGAGAGAAAUGGUUGGUUUAGUGAUUUCAAAUUGGAAGCGUUGGCUAAAGGGUUGAUUUUGUUCAAGAAGUGGAGGGAUGGGGAUUUAUCUAAGAAUUUUAGUGAAGAGGAUGCUUUUAGAUUAGUUGGAAUCUCUUUUAAUCAUGCAUGAGAUAAUUAUUAAAAGUUUGAAUCAUGGAGAAUUAUUAAAGGUUUGAGGUAAUGACAACCAGUAAUAAGUUAUAUGACCCAUGCAGAAUAAAUGUUCUAACUCCUCAAUACUAAUGACAAAUUUAAAUUCCUCCUCAAUACUAAUGACAAAUUUAAAUUCCUCAAUACUAAUGACAAAUUUAAGGUAAGGUAAUGACAGCCAGUAAUAAGUUUAGUUGGAAUCUUUCUUCAUCAUGCAUGCCAGAUUUAUUAUUGGAAAUUCUAACUACUUGAUACUUUAUUAUUGGAAAUUCUAACCACUCGAUACUCUUUGAGUUCCCUAGUCUAUUUUAAGGAUCGUGAAUGAACUCUUGGAUAGACAUUAUUUGUAGAGAAUUUGUUUUUUUUUUCUUUCUUUGAAAUGGGGGAGAAAUGGUUGGUUUAAUGAUUUCAAAUUGGAAGCGUUGGCCAAAUGUUUGGUUUUGUGCGAGAAGUGGAUGGAUGGGAGGCUUAGAAGGCUUUAUAUAAGAACGUUAGUGAAGAGGUUGCUUUUAAUUUAGUUCUUCCACAAACCCAACUAAACUAAAUGCAACAUCUUCACUUAACAUUCUUAUAUAAAGCCCUCCAUCCCUGUACUUCUUGCAUAGAGCCAACCCUUUGCCUAAGGCUUCCAAUUUAAAAUUACUAAACCAAACAUUUCUCUCCUAUUUCAAACAAAGAAACAAAAUAAACAAUCAUUCUCUACAAAUAAUCUAUCUAAGAGUUCAUUCAAGAUCCACAAAAUAAACUGGGGAACUCAAAGAGUAUUGAGGAGUUAGAAUUUCCAAUAAUAAAUCUGUCAUACAUGAUGAAGAUAGAUUAACUUAUUACUGGUUGUUAUUACCUUCAAUCUGUCAUUCAAAUAGUAUUGAGGGGUCAAAUGGUAUUGAGAAGUUAGAAAAUUUCUUCUGCAUGGUUCAUAUAGCUUAUUAUUGACUGUCAUUACCUUAAACCUUUAAUAAUUCUCUCAUGCAUGAUGAAGAGAGAUUCCAACUAAACUAAAUGCAAUCUCUUCACUAAAAUUUUUAUAUAAAACACCACAUCCCUGCCCUUCUUGCACAAACCAAGCCAACACUUCCAAUUUGAAAUCACCAAACCAAACAUUUCUCACCCACUAAACCAACCAUUUCUAAUCCAAGAUAAGAUAACUGGUCCAAAUAAAAUUUCUCUUAAAAAUAUUUCCAUAGUUAUAAAAAUGGCUUUCAAAUACUUUCAUGUAAAAAUCAUAUCAAAUCGAUUUUUAACACUUACAGCAACAAAACUCCUAAGAAUAGAAGUACUUUUUACAGAAACAAGAUGAGCAUAAUUAUAUGUAAACUCGACUCUAGGCUCAUUGAUCUUAAACUGGAGAUGAAUCAUCUUCGAUUACAAUUUACAAUCAUAUGUUUCUUGCUGAAGAAGCUACAUUAGGGUUCUUGACCAAGAAAUUAAAAUUUCCCGCAAUUCGUUUAAAAAAAAUAAAAAAUAAGAAGGAUAAAGGCACUCAGAAUGAAAAGGACUAAAAUUAUUAGUCAUCGAUAUAUGAACCUCAUACCACUACUAUAAUUACUCCUCAUCGUGCCUCUUCAAUUUACAAAAAUAAUAAAUAAAUAAAUAAAUAAAAACUCAAAGAUUUCAUAUUUUAAAAGUACAUUAAUCUAAAUAUUAACUUCACAAGCAAAAGCAAUGGCGGGUUAAAGUAAUUAAUUUUAAUUUCUCGAUGAAAUCAAAGAGAAAAUGUAAGAAGAAUUCAUACAAAAAUUAGAAGAAAAAAAAAUUACAGGUUUAGAAACCAUCAGAUGCAAAGGAUCGUUUCAGCUUCGACACCGAGUCUCAGACGACCGUCGUGAGAUGAUUAAUCCAAAUUCAUCACCUGAUUUCCUACUAAUUUUCCACAAAUACUAAUUAAAGAGAAAAAAGAAAAGAAAAGACAGAAUGGGGAAGAAGGGGAGAGAGGCUCUGGAGUUUUCGGUUGGAGAAGCGGAGGCCGCGGCGAGACGAUUUAAAGGACGGAGACUGAGACUUUAUUAGGGUUUUCAUACUUUCGCCUUGCCGGUUUUGCCCUUUUAUUUGGAUCUGGACUCGCAAUUCUGUCCUUACUGGGCUGGGUUAGUAUAGGAUUAUAAUGUGGCAUGAUUCUCGGCCGCACACAAAUGAGUGAUUGAGAUUUAAUUAAAUCUUAUUUGAAUAAAUUUCAACCACUCAUUAGUGUCUUUUAAUGCUUAGGUAGAUGUCAAUGAAGUUUUUUAUUUUAUCUGAACAAACGAUAUUCUUUACAAUAAUAAGAGAUGACAGCCUUAACCUUAUAAUGGGUUAGUAAUAAUAUAUUUUAAAUUCGUCUAUAGUGAGAAUCAAAUAUAAGGCAUUUCACUUACAAGUGAAAAUGAAUACCACUAAAUUGUAAUAUUAAGUGGCACAUUACACAAAAGAAUUGUAGCUCAAUUUAAGAGUAUGUAUUAGGCACUUGAGAUUCUAAGUUCGAUUUUCCCUGAUAAUUUUAUUUUCUAUUCACCCAAAUGACACUUGUAUAUAUAAAGAAGGGGUUUUUAGCUUAAAUAGUAUAUGAGAUUGUCAUAACUCCUCACUUUUAUCUCUGAGAUUUAAAAUUGAUAUAUGUGGUCCCUUAGAUUGCCACUGUCAAUUAUUUUGGUUAUUAUGUGAAAUAUUUUCUCUAAAUGAAGAAACCACCAAUUUAAAAGGAGUUGAUUUGAUAAAAAUACCCUUAAAUUAACGAAGAUUUAUCACAAAAGAACUAAAAUGAUUGACGGUGGGAAAUUUCAGGACCACUUCCAUCAACUUUAAAUUUUAGAGACCAAAGUGAGACUUAUGCUAAUUUUAAAGACCAUUUUUGAAUUAAAAAAACUUAAAAAAAUUAUACCUAACAUUGGACCAAGCUUAGAAAACCAACAGCUAGAUGAAGCCCACUUAGGCCAGCUCUAACCGAAUGAGGGUCAAAUGACUCCCUUUAGCCUUAUAGCCUUGCAAGAAAUUAUAUUUUAAUGAACGAUGCUAGACUAUAUUUUAUACCAUCUUCAACCGAGACGAGCCAAAAGGCUAUAGGCCAAACAUAGUCAUUUGACAAAAAAUCAUCUCCAACCGAGGGGGCCAAAGGGUCAUAGGCCAAACAUAAUUUAUUAUUUUAAUUAAAUUAAUAUAGUUAAUUAAAUUAAACUACCAUAUUAAAAUAAUAUUUUCGGACAUAUUUUGAGUACCAGUUGUCACAAAAUUAAUAAGCCUCCGGAUUUCUUAUCUUUAUAUAAUCUCAAAAACUUUUUGGAUAGGAUUUCGAGCAACAUGUGUUGUUAACGUGAGUAAAUCUUCAGAUUUCUGAUCUUUAUGUAAUCUUAAUAAUUUUUAAGAUAGGAUUUAUAGUGACAUGUGUCGCUAAAGUGAGUAACUUUCCAGAUUUCUUAUCUUUAUGUAAUUUAAAUAAUUUUUCGGAUAGGAUUUCGAGUGCCAUGUGUCUAGAUGUAAUUGGUUGUGCAAAAUUUAGAUAGGAUUUUUAUGUACGUGGCACUUUUUAUCUUCAGCUUUCAAUGGUGUAGGUAUUUAUAGGAACAAAAAAUUAGAUUUGUUUUUUUAACUUUGUCCAAAAAAAAAUAAAAAAUCAAAUUCCAACGGUAAUCUGCCAACAGCAUGAUGUUAACUAGCCAUUGCUAGCUGGCGUCAUGUUGAUGCUAGGUAGUUGUUGGCAUUAAAAUGGGUUGAGCUUGAGGGCUAGCAAAAUGUCAAGCUUGAUAUUAUGGCGCUUGAGGGCUGGUUGGAAAUGGCCAGCCCGCUAGCCUGAUUUGGGGGUUUGGGCCCAAUGAAGCACACAAGUCCUUUGGCCUAGCCCUCGAUUAGAGAUGGUUUUUGUGUUAUUUCAAACAAUUUUUAGCUCUAUGAUCCUUUGGAUAGAUCGGUUGGAGAUGGUCUUACAUGACGAUUUCUUGGGCCAAAGGCACGAGUUAAUAGGAGGCAGAUUCUCUGCCCUCACACUUUAUGUGCCUUCUUGGUUUGUGUGAUCACUGUUAAGCCACGUCAAUAUUUUAUAUUAUCUUUUUAUAGAGAUAAUAAGAUAAAAAUAAAUAGUAAUAUAAAAUAUUGACGUGACUUAAUCGUGAUCACGUAAAGUGGAAGGCAUGGAGGCCACGGAAGUGGGAGGGCAGCCUCCGGGUUAAUAAUGCUGCACUGUACGGCGCCGUUUAGCUCUCCCCUUCUCUAUGAUUCAGUUCAGGUGAUGGAUUUCACUUCCACAAAAUCCAAUUCUCAGUCUCAUCGCUCUGCGACCACCAUGUCGUCGAAGAGUGUUCCGCCGCUCGUCGCCGCCCAGCUCAACUACCUCCUUACUCACUUCCCUCUCGUCGUCAAGGUAAUGCCUCCCAAACCCAACGUCUCCGCUUCAUUUCCAAUUUUGCAAAAACAAAUUGCGGAGAAAAUUUAACUCCAAAAUUUCAUUUCAUUUCAUUCAUCCCCGACGGUAAUAGUUUACUGAGGCAUUUUCUUGGAAUCCAAAACAAUCUAGGGUUCGUGGGUUUUCAUUUGUUGCAUGAUCUGCUGUACACUCUAGGGUUUUGUCAAAGAUUUCUUUAGGACAUUUUACAUGAUCAAUUUUGCUUUGCAGAUUGAGAACAAGUGGUCUGGCAGCAAGUACUACCCGGGAUUUCUCGACCGGUUCACCUUAGUCAUUUCCUACUGUCUAGACGUUAUCAAAUGUGAGUGGAUUGUUGUAAUAGGUAGUUUCAUGUAGUACUGAUUGUUUUCGAUUGCUAAGAAUGUGGGGUUUUGAUUUGUUGUAGGGGAUGUUGUAUUUGAUUCGGAGUCUCCGUUCUCUGCACCCGAUGUUAUAUUCGGACCGGAUGAUGAGAAAUUUCCGCAGUUUCUUGUAUCGCGCGAUGAAGGAGAAGGGGACUCAAAGUUUCACAUGAAGUGUUUGAGUGAUUGGAACAGCAGAGACCCGACACAGCUUAUGCUUCUCAUUCAUGAACUGAGGUGAUGGAUUUUUCGAUUGUACAUUUUCUUUGGAGUUUUGUAUUUCUUUUGGGAAUAAUGUGUAGCUAACUAGUCUCAUAAUUUUCAAUGAAAUACUGUUGUUCUAUUUUAAAGGGAUCAAUACAUGUCCUACCAGAAGAAGCGUGUUGCAGAAGUUGAUGACGACAGGUUGAAGUUUGAAAUUAGCACAAUUGUUGCUCGAGAGGUAAUAUUUCAAACAACCAUGAGAAAUUCAAUAUAUUACUAGACGUCUGUUUGCGUGUGAGGGAUGAACUUGGAGGAACAUUUUCAUGAAUAUCUAAUUUAAUGAAAUAUUUCUUAGCUAUUAAAUCCUUACAGCUAUUAAAUCCUUACACUUUGCUUCAGGGCAUUGAGAUGCAGAUGAGUUCCGGAGUUGACAAGGUAUUUAUGAUUGGGUAAAAAACAUGUUCAACUUUUGUUAUUGGCUCUAUCGAAAGAUCUGUGUUGAAUAGAACUUGGCCGUGUAGCUUCUGAUUAUAAAUGUGGUCCUUAUGCCUCUGAAUUUUAGUGUAGCCAGAGGAGGUCAAAUUUGCAGUUCCUCUAUUGGACAUGAACAUAAAUAAGAUGGUGCCUGUGUACCCCUGGAGACAUCAACAGAAGAUAUACUUGCAGGUUGAGAUUCUCUUUCCCUCUGUCUCCCCCCCCCCCCCCCCCCCCCCCAAGUUUGAAUUAUUUUUCCCCCAUUUUUUAAUUUUCUUCCAGGACAUCAUAUUCAAUGAUGUGUAUUUUGGGCUGUGCAGAUUGUAUAUCCUGUUGAGAAAAAAUAUGUUUCCACUCCAUCAGCUCCUUGCUUGAAACUAGUGUCUACCUCAGAGUUGAAGACUCUAUUUUCCAUUGAUGAAGUCAAACUUCCUCCAUGGUUGAAUGGAAUGUAUGUCUAAGUCCUCUGAAUUAUAAAUUCUUAGUCCUUUAUACUCUACUAUUAUUGGUUCGUUAUGGGUUUUUUUUUCUUUCUUACUCUUGAAAGGUGCAUGGCUGAAUAUCUUCCCCAUCUUGAAGAAUCCCUUGAGAAACAGGUCAGCUGCAUUUCAGUUUAUAUUUUGCACUUUCACGUACAAAAUAUUUCAUAUUUGUAAGAAUAUAUUGUCUUGUUACUAAGGUUUUGGAGGCAGUCUCCUUGGUUGAUGUUAGAAGGCGCUUUAUCGAGGCAUUAGCCCUUCAGUUUGGAAGACCAGUGGAAGCUGAUUCGGUAGGCAUCCUAGGCAUGUAUUUCUCGGUGCGAAGUUCUUGAAACAUUAAGACUAAUUGUUCAUAUCUAAUUGGGCAGGUCUUAUGCAGAAAGGCAACGUUCCUUGCCGCUUCUGGAGUUUUCACGUUCCUGGUAUAUAUGGUCAUCACUGUAUCAUCUUUGUAUGGAAUAUUCCUUUAAGCUAAAGCAUGUGCUGGGUCAUUGAUUAAGAAUUAAGAACUCAUUUGAUCUAUAAUAUUUUGUUUCUAUCUUUCUUAUAAGCUUUUUGACUAAUCUAGCUGUAAUUCACGUGGAUUCCGUGUCGUUUAUUGCUGUCAAUAGCAAGAGUUUUACGCUCUAUUUUGUUAUUGCGCAAUAUCUGGUGGUACUUUUGUUCUAUUUUCAGUUGUUUUAUGUCUACAUUUGGGUACUGCACUCUAGUUAAUCUUCCCCUUUCCAGCGACCAAGCUUCUGAUCGUUUUGUUUUGUAUAGGUUCAUGUUUCGAUUUCAACUCAGUUUCCAAAGCAAAGGCCUUCUUUGACGCUUCAAAGUUCACAGGCAAGGAUAAUUAUCCGAAUCUAUGCAUUAAUGAUUACAGCAAAACUAAACCUACAGCAAAACUAAACCAUAUAUAUGGCUAGUUCAUCACAAAUAUCUGCUGCACACGUGCAGUUUGUUUCGAUUAUUGUCUUCAUAUACAUGUUUUCUAGUUGAAAUGAAACUCUUGAUUGACGGGGUUAUAUUCUCGUAAUGAUGUAGCAUUUCAACCACCAAGGUGUGCCGAUCAAGUCACUUCCUCUAACGGAAUUUCCUUGGAGCCCUAGAUGGGAAUUACCUCAUAUGGCCGAGCGAAUUUGGUGAGUUCCUUUGUAAAUUCUUAUCACACUCAUUCACCACUUUUGCAUCUGAACAAUAUCACUGACGGGGAUCACUUUUCAGCGACUAUUUGACAGACGAGGCUGUGGACUUCAAGAAGCACUGCAACGAGCCUCCACCGCAGCACUAGGGUGUCAUAGAUCGCCGCGGUUAAUGUUCGGUAUCAUCGUCUCCGUUACCAAUCGAAUCAUGUAAAUUUUUGUAAUCGCUUUGAACUCUUUUGGUUCUUGGGCAUGAGCUUGGAUGGGAAAAUAGUCACUUGUGUUAGUAACUGAGAAAUGGAGCGAUGAUUACUCUAAUCUGGUAAUCUUUGCCGUCUCAGAUCAAGAUCUAGUAAGAGUCCAAAUGCUUCAAAAUACUAAAAUAUUUUGUCAGGAUCUGAGACGGGUAUAUUGGAAAUGAGGUAUUCGCCGAUUUACCAGUUUUUUCCUGAGCUUUAAUUUUAGCUGAUUACUUGCCUGAACUUUUAUAAUUGCCUACUUUUUCCAGUGUUAGAUUUUAGAAAAUUUCAUGCAUCUUAGUUACGUGCACGGCACAUGGAAAUUGACUAAAGAUCUGAAUCGGGGAUGUAAUUGAAAUUGUUGGAUUUGGAUCCCAGCACAUGGAUUUUCAGACUCCACAAUUAUUUUAAUCAAUGUAAAAAAAUUAUUAUCAUUUGUCGGAUUGUCAAUGUAUAUCUUGCGAAAAGAUUACAUAUGGAUAGAAAAGGAUCCUCGCUGAAUCAUUUUUCUAGAGAUCCUAGGAAUUUUGCAAUCGUAACCGUUCAUUGUACAUCAUGAGAUCAGUUUUUGUUAGGUACUAUUUAUAUUUAAUUUUAAAUUUUAAAUUUUGAAAUGAUUUCUGACCACACGAUGUAUGAUGAACGAUCACGAUCGCGAAAAAGAAUCCGGCGAGAAUCCUUUUUCCAUAUGGAUUAUGGAGGACAAUGAUUGAGCCGUCUGAGCAGUUUCUCUGAUCACACAACAAAAUAGAGAAAUUGGUAGCACUGAAGCGCAUGGGUGCAAUGGUGCAUUAGUGUACCCUCGCUAGUAUACGAUAAUUAUUAAAUUCUCAAAAGAAAUACAAAAAGACAAAAAGAUACUAAAAUUUCGAGUGUUUUUUUUUUUUUCAAUGCGCUAUACACUACUCAACUAGACAUUUAAAUUUAGAGGUGUAGUCAAAUGAGGAUUUUAAAGGAUUUUAAAAGACUUUAGAAUCAUGGUGUAGUCAACUAGGAUUUUUAAAGAUUUUUAAAGAAUUCAUUCAAAUACAUGGGUAAUCAAUUAAAGGAUUUUAAAAGACUUUAGAAUCUUGACGUAGUCAACUGAGAUUUUAAAGGAUUUUUAUAGAGUCCAUGCAAAUCUAUAGGUAUUCAAAAAUUCAUAGAUUUUGAAGAAUUUCUUUUAAUAAGAUAUUUUGUAAGAUUCGAGAAGGGAUUAUAAACAUAACAAAAUCCUACCUCCACCCCUAGGAUUUCUUUUCAACCCCCUCGCUCUUUCUCUCUCUCUCCAUUAUGCAACUUGAACUUUCUUUCUCACUCUCCAUUUUCUUUCAAACAUAGAACCUACCAACGUGAUUUCUUUUCACGUUCAUCUGUCACCGUCCCAGUUGCAAACUUGAAUUUUUUGAAUUUUACAAUAUUUUUUGAAUUUUUUAUUUCCUUUAUUUUGGAAUGUGUAAUAGUAUUUCUUGUAAUGCUUUCUUGAGAAGUGUUAAUAGCUACUAGUAGUUCUUGUAAUGAUUAUGCGUUCUAUCUGAAUAUGUUAAUUUUUUACCAUGUUAAUUGAACUCUUGGAAAUUACUACUAAGAAUCUUAUUGCCAAUUCAAGCUUUAUGUUCUUUUUCGUGUAAUCAUGUUAGUGUAAGGGUGCAAGCAUCUUCCAAAGCCUAUUUAUAUUGGUAACUGUACUUAGACUGAAUAACACAUUAUGAACUAAUCAAUUGUUGUCGAAAAAGGGUUAAUUUUGAGAUAUUAGAUUUAAGAAGCACUACUUGUUUUGAUUAGUUAAAAUUAUUUUUCGUAAAGAAAUCACAAUUCAAGUGAGAAAGGGAAAGAAAAGACAUAUUUGAUUGGUUUAUAUUUCCAUAUCAAUAUACAUAUGCUUAUAUCUUUUUUAGAUUGUGCACUGAGAAAAAAAUUUAUGUUGCAUGAGUCAAAAAAGAAAUCCUUAGAAAGUCCAUUAAAAUCAUCUGAAAUCCAAAUUGACUACAUUCCCUUAAAUGUUUUAAAUAAAACCAUCUUAUACGACGGAUCAUACUGUUUAACAACGUAAUCCAUGUACAUCAAUAAAGGGCCUCGAGUUUUUAGUGGCCCAGUCCGAAAAAUUAAAAUGAGGUCCUUUCCAGCACAUUAGCAUUAAAUAUUUACAUAUUUUUAAAAAUAUAUAUGUACACUAACAUAUGUUAAAAUACAUUGGGCCGUCCUGCAUGGUCGACCUUUUCGCCCUUGUUCGGAAACAACAAAACAAUUUUCUGGUCCGGCCAAACACAGUCCAAUGACAGUAAAAAGCAAACGGAAAAAGGAAAUCAACGGAUUAAAUCUCGCUUUUCUCAAUGAUACGGUCGAUUUCAACAGACUAAAGCUCGUUAUCAACGGUUAAAUUCUAACACCGUUUCCCGCGGGAAAACUUUUUGGCGGGCGGGUGGGAUCACCGAAUUAACGUGCGCACGCACCCCAUGCCAGCCAGAGCGACGGAGUGAAGGAAGAGAGAGAAAGUAGUUGGUUUGUUCUUACUCUCUCUCUCUCUCUCUCUCUGUCUGGCUGUCACACACACAGCAACCAACGGAUUAAUUGAUUUAAAAAAUAUCCCACCGCCCAUUAUUUACCUUCCUAACCUCCGAUUCUCUCUCUCUCCUCCCCCUUCUCUCUCCUCCCUUUCCCCUUCAUAACACCGACUUCGGAUACACUCUCUUCCUCUGUCUUCGUAUCUCUCCCUCCUCUCGCCGUUCCUCCCAAAAGCCCUUGUAAUCGCAGCAGCAGACCUCGCUUCAUUUCCGGCACCUCCGUCGCGACAAUGAGAGAGAUCCUGCACAUCCAGGGAGGCCAAUGCGGCAACCAGAUCGGCUCCAAGUUCUGGGAGGUCAUCUGCGACGAGCACGGCGUUGACCCCACGGGAAGGUACCGAGGAGACUCCGGCUCCGAUCUCCAGCUCGAGAGGAUCAACGUCUACUACAAUGAGGCCUCCGGCGGGAGGUACGUCCCCCGCGCGGUCCUCAUGGAUCUUGAGCCCGGUACCAUGGACAGCAUCCGAUCCGGCCCCUUCGGCCAGAUCUUCCGCCCUGACAACUUCGUCUUCGGCCAGUCCGGCGCCGGCAACAAUUGGGCGAAGGGACAUUAUACCGAAGGUGCCGAGUUGAUCGAUUCCGUUCUCGAUGUUGUUCGCAAGGAGGCAGAGAAUUGUGAUUGCCUUCAAGGUAAAAUUUCUUUGAAUUUCGACAUGAAUUAUGAAAUGAAAAUGCUCCUCGAUCGGAUUUGAAUUUCUGCUACAUUGAAUGUAUUGAUGCUUGAAUGAUUAUUCAGUUGAUUACUGUUUCUGUUGCUCUAUGAGUUCGUCGUUAAAGAUUUGAUAAUCCGAUUUCGAAAUGCUUCCGAAUCGGAAUUGAUUUUCUGCGAGAUUAUAAACAUUCAUGCUUGAAGAUUCAGUUGAUUACCGUUUUCAUUAGCGUUGUUAAUUACAUAUUUAACAAUAACUUCAUUGCAAAGUACGGUCGUCAGAUCCUUCAUCCAAAACUCUGAUCUUGUCCUUUACUUUUUGUUUGGUUGUGGAUCUGAUAUAUUCAUCGUCAGCUUUCCUAGCACCGCCAUGUGGUUAACUGUACUACUACUUGCAUAUAUAUUAUAUAUGCAUAUAAUUUAUCUUUAUAUGGCUGAUUUUGCUUGUGGUCCCCCUUGUUUUUUGUUCUUUAGUGGAGACAGAUGAGGAAUCUGUUUACUUUUUUUUGCAUGAUUGUGAUUUCCCAACAGUCAAUAUGUUACCACACCGACGUUGUGCUUGGUUCUUUUGGAUUGAGAUUCACUGCGGAUCUCUGUAUUCUAAGUCCGCGGACGGAGAGAUUUGAGUCACUUAAUUUUAAUCAUAGGGUUCUUAUUAACCCAUCCCACUAGCCCGAUUCACAAAAACUAAAAAAAAUUGAGCUCUCUUGAACAGUCCAUAUCUCUCGGUCCUUGGAUUGCAGACACAAAGGUCCAGAGUAGAUCUCAUUCCGGUUGUUUUAGCAAAUUAACUAUUGCAAUAAAUCUGAGAUGGCUGUAAGAAAAAUUUCAACCCUUUUCUGUAACAUGCUUAAUUGUUUGAGGAUUAGUGAUUUGUAUUUACAUGGGAACAUUUAGCUUAUAUUCGUUUGGGUUAUAGGGACUUAUAUCAUUGAUUUGUUAUUGUGAGGAUCUGUGGUUGUAUGUUGGAUCCUUGUUCGUAUAAAUCUUUAAACCUCACUUGCCCAUUUCCAGUUUUGUUUAAUAUGCUGAUUGACAUGGUCUUUUUUUUAUACGGGGCAGGUUUUCAGGUGUGCCACUCUCUUGGAGGAGGAACUGGUUCUGGAAUGGGAACCCUUCUCAUAUCAAAGAUCAGAGAGGAAUACCCUGAUAGGAUGAUGCUCACAUUCUCCGUUUUCCCUUCACCGAAGGUCUCAGAUACCGUUGUGGAACCAUACAAUGCCACUCUUUCGGUGCACCAGCUGGUUGAGAACGCCGAUGAAUGCAUGGUUCUUGACAACGAGGCACUUUAUGACAUUUGCUUCAGGACCCUAAAGCUCAGCACCCCAAGCUGUGAGUGACAACCUAAUUCUUUUGAAUAAUGUUGCAAGUAACACAAGUAGUCUUAUAGCACCCGGUUCUAGUUUUACUUAAUUGUAUAUCUGUUUGCAGUUGGUGACCUGAACCAUUUGAUAUCCGCAACCAUGAGCGGUGUGACAUGCUGCCUAAGGUUCCCUGGACAGUUGAAUUCAGACCUCCGGAAGCUGGCCGUGAAUCUCAUUCCAUUUCCACGUCUUCACUUCUUCAUGGUUGGGUUUGCCCCUCUCACCUCUCGUGGAUCCCAGCAGUACAUCUCCCUUACCGUGCCGGAGCUGACUCAGCAAAUGUGGGAUGCCAAGAACAUGAUGUGCGCUGCUGACCCUCGCCAUGGACGUUACCUGACAGCCUCAGCUAUGUUCAGGGGGAAGAUGAGCACCAAAGAGGUGGACGAACAGAUGAUCAAUGUGCAGAACAAGAACUCGUCCUACUUCGUUGAGUGGAUCCCUCACAAUGUGAAGUCAAGCGUGUGCGAUAUUCCUCCCAAGGGUUUGAAAAUGGCAUCUACCUUUGUUGGUAACUCUACAUCAAUCCAGGAGAUGUUCAGGAGAGUGAGCGAGCAGUUCACAGCCAUGUUCCGGCGCAAGGCCUUUUUGCAUUGGUACACCGGUGAAGGCAUGGACGAGAUGGAGUUCACCGAAGCAGAGAGCAACAUGAAUGAUUUGGUUGCCGAGUACCAGCAAUACCAAGAUGCAACCGUGGAGGAUGAGGGCGAGUACGAGGAGGAAGGUGCAGAAGAGAAUUACGAGGACUAGAACAUGCCGGCAAUCACAAAUCAGGACCGGAAGAAAGGUUUGACAUGGAAGGGGGCGUCCCUUAUUGCUUGCUUGUGUACUUACAUGGUAAAAUCUGCGUUUUUGCUUUUAUCAUUUUUUUUGUAUUUGCUUGUGGAUUAUUGUCUCGGCUAAUCACGCAAGAUUAUCACCUUGCUGGAUUAAGUUACAAUUAGUAAAUCAUCUUGUAAGACGAUGUUGUGUGAUUGUUCUUUUCCAAGUAUGGAAUAAAAUGUCAUUUUUGCCAAUCCUUGAUUAUUUUUUCCAAAUUGUGUUAUUUUUAAAACUCGAUUUUGAUUUUAUUUUGUUCGGAAAACUAUAAAAUUGCCACACCGUCAAGUUCAAUAUUUGCUCCACUUUGACGGGAUGCAAAAUUGAUUGAUAGAAAUGGGUAUAAUUAUUUUCUUAACAUUGAUUGGUGAUUUGUAUGAAAGCUCAAACAACUAAAUUUGGGUUGAAAAACUUCCCAGCAGUUGGGGAAAAAAAUGUGGAUUGCGAAACAAGUAUCGAUCUAAAAUCCAAAUCUCUCCCUAUUACUUGUAGCCACUACUUCUAACCUUGCAUAGUAGUGCCAAAGAUGAAGGGAGUGGAUCAAACAUGGUCAUAUCAAGUGGACUUGUUUUCAGAUUCCACCCGAUCGCCAAACAAAAAAUCGUCCUAUUUGGCGAUCAGGGAAAAUCAAAGAAAACGUAGACCGAAGAAAAAAAAUUUCCAAUUAUGUAGAAUACAUUAAAUCCUUAUUAAAAUUUAAAGAAAAAUAAAUUAAAAAACCAAACAAAAAAGGAAAAAAGAGGAAAGGAAGGAAGGAAAACAUAGAAGAUGAUAGAUGCAUCAGAGUAAAAUUGCAAGCUUCUCAUCCCAAUUAAUAUUUCUCCUCACUUGCAUCAAUAUUUAUAGAACUUAGCUUGGCUGUUAAAAAAUCAACAGCAGCUCCUGCUCCUCACCAAUAACAGAUAGACACAUGUCCAAGUAAUUAAUUUUUUAAUCACAGAUUGGAUACAUGUCCAUCUGCAAUGAAUGAAGAGCAGGAACUGCUACUGACUUUUUCAGCAGCCAAGUUCUGUCCAUAUUUAUAUGUAAGGAGAGAGAGUGUGAAAGAGACGGGAAUUAAAAUAGUAUUUGAUUCGGCAUAUUUCUCAGCGCAAGGAAAAGGCAGGUGAAGCCUUCUUAUCUCAAAAGGGUAACUCUUAUUUUUUAGUACAUUUAUAUUUUUACAUUGAGAGAAGGAAGAGUUUGGUUAAGCUAGUCUAAUUUGGUAUCGAAUUUGUCAUCCACAAUAUUCAAACCUAAUAUCUCUCACUUUUAAAUGAAGAAGAAUAUCACCGAAUAGUAGUACUCAGCAGCAUGAUAUCUAUUACUUAUAUAAGAACGCAACUAGGGUUUCAUUUCCUCCUCCGUCAUCUACGGCCGAGAUUCUCUAGCCAACUUAGAAUUCCCAUUGGGUCUAUAUUCUAGUUGGGCCUUUGUUUUUUUAUGUAGAAACAGUAGAAUGUAUGUAUAGGGAAAUUUUGUUAAAAUUUAGAAUCAUCUUGAUUACCUUUAACACUAUAAUCUAUAAAUAAAUUUUGUAACUCAAAUAGUUAAAAGUAUUAAUACAUUAAUGCCUUGAUAUCUACGCGCACAACAGAGAAAGGGCUCAAAGUAACGUGUUCGUUGUUUCUCGUUGUGCUAAACGAACUUUCCUUUCUCAAAACAUUUAGCCACGUGUACAUAUUUCGUUACACACGGAAAUAGUUAUUGAACGAAAUCCAAAUUAACAAUAUAUCAAUCAAACAUCGACACAAUUGUAAUUCCUAGACCAAAAUAAUUGGUCUAUGACAAUGUUAAUAUAUGGAAUUAUAGGUACAAUAUAUCUACGUACUAAGUCUCACCAUAAUAAUUGCUAAAACCUCAUCAAACCUUUGGUUUGGCUAAAAUAUUACACCCCAAAUAAAGUAAUUAAAUUAUUAGGGGCAAAAAAUUAAAAAAAUUAAAAAAAACAUUAGCCAAUGCCAUGUCAUCUGGAGUGGAAGCGAGAUUUCUUGACCCUACAGAUUUCGAGCCUCUUCUGCCUUGCCUCAGCAGCCCUUUUCCUAAUCAUAUCCUUGUUAACCAAGCCAAGAUCAAACGGCUGGGAGGAGUUCAACACGAUUGAAUCCUUAAAACAGAGGUUAACGUGAUCCCCUCGCGGGCCCACAUUGAACUCUCUUCUUUGAUUUUUGGCCGUUUGAUCCAUGAUCAGCUGCUGCAGUUGAUGUUGAUAAAAAAUCACACUAGGAGGAGAGGGAAUUUGCAUUUGCAUUGGAAUUGGAUGUUGGUAAGGCUCUUGAUUUGGGGCCGCUUGAGGCGGAGUCACAAACGUGAGUUGGGUCGGUUGGCUUAAUUGCACAGUUGGUUCCGGGCUUGGGUCCGUAUCCAAACGCUGCUCCUCUUCCAGUUUAUGGCCAAGUCUCAUUAGCUGUUUAAAAAAUAAAAAAACAAAAAAAGGGUAAGCCAAUUAAAACACGAGAAAAAUAUUUUUUAAGCGAAACAAAAUUAUA
rnacentral:lncRNA from 1 species